GACGUAGGGCGCGAGCGUUGUCCGGAUUUAUUGGGCGUAAAGAGCUCGUAGGCGGCUUGUCGCGUCGACUGUGAAAACUCGGGGCUUAACCCCGAGCCUGCAGUGGAUACGGGCAGACUAGAGGUAGGUAGGGGAGAAUGGAAUUCCCGGUGUAGCGGUGAAAUGCGCAGAUAUCGGGAGGAACACCGGUGGCGAAGGCGGUUCUCUGGGCCUUACCUGACGCUGAGGAGCGAAAGCGUGGGGAGCGAACAGG
rnacentral:rRNA from 1 species